AUAUUCAAAAGGCAAUAACGUGGAAAUACGUUUACGCAAAGUCUCAGAGCUAACGAAGAAAUUCUAUGCUGGCUGGUCCGCAAUA
rnacentral:ncRNA from 1 species